rnacentral:rRNA from 1 species
AACGAACGCUGGCGGCAUGCCUAACACAUGCAAGUCGAACGAUCCCUUCGGGGAUAGUGGCGCACGGGUGCGUAACGCGUGGGAACCUGCCCUUAGGUUCGGAAUAACUCAGAGAAAUUUGAGCUAAUACCGGAUAAUGUCUUCGGACCAAAGAUUUAUCGCCUUUGGAUGGGCCCGCGUUGGAUUAGCUAGUUGGUGGGGUAAAGGCCUACCAAGGCGACGAUCCAUAGCUGGUCUGAGAGGUUGAUCAGCCACACUGGGACUGAGACACGGCCCAGACUCCUACGGGAGGCAGCAGUGGGGAAUAUUGGACAAUGGGCGAAAGCCUGAUCCAGCAAUGCCGCGUGAGUGAUGAAGGCCUUAGGGUUGUAAAGCUCUUUUACCCGGGAUGAUAAUGACAGUACCGGGAGAAUAAGCCCCGGCUAACUCCGUG